UACAGCAUCCAGUUGUGUGAGA
rnacentral:miRNA from 1 species